UGAGCAAGCCAGGCAGCCGCGUGCGAUCACUCGCACGAGGAAAGUCCGGGCUCCAUAGGGCAAGGGCGCCGGAUAACGUCCGGUGAAGGCGACUUCAAGGAAAGUGCAACAGAAACACACCGCCGAAACGGGCGCGCGCAGCGCGUGCCGUGGCAAGGUUGAAAUGGUGAGGCAAGGGCUCACCGGCGGCAUGGCAACAUGCCGGCCGUGCAAACCCCGCCCGGAGCAAGGCCAAGUAGGGCAUUUUCGCGCCGGCGGCAUCGCCGCCCGGCGCGAUACCAAGCGGCUGCCCGUCGCUGCCCGGUAUGGUAGGCCGCACGAGCCUGUUGGCGACAGCAGGCCUAGAUAGAUGGCUGCUUAGUACAGAACCCGGCUUAUGGCUUGCUCAUAUU
rnacentral:RNase_P_RNA from 1 species